rnacentral:rRNA from 1 species
AGUGAACGCUGGCGGUAGGCCUAACACAUGCAAGUCGAACGGCAGCACAGUAAGAGCUUGCUCUUACGGGUGGCGAGUGGCGGACGGGUGAGGAAUACAUCGGAAUCUACUUUUUCGUGGGGGAUAACGUAGGGAAACUUACGCUAAUACCGCAUACGACCUACGGGUGAAAGCAGGGGAUCUUCGGACCUUGCGCGAUUGAAUGAGCCGAUGUCGGAUUAGCUAGUUGGCGGGGUAAAGGCCCACCAAGGCGACGAUCCGUAGCUGGUCUGAGAGGAUGAUCAGCCAACAUGGAACUGAGACACGGUCCAGACUCCUACGGGAGGCAGCAGUGGGGAAUAUUGGACAAUGGGCGCAAGCCUGAUCCAGCCAUACCGCGUGGGUGAAGAAGGCCUUCGGGUUGUAAAGCCCUUUUGUUGGGAAAGAAAAGCAGCAGGUUAAUACCCCGCUGUUCUGACGGUACCCAAAGAAUAAGCACCGGCUAACUUCGU